rnacentral:rRNA from 1 species
CUAAGGCUCCAGAGGAAGCCACGGCUAACUCUGUGCCAGCAGCCGCGGUAAUACGGAGGCGGCAAGCGUUGUUCGGAAUUAUUGGGCGUAAAGAGCACGUAGGCGGCCUUGCAAGUCAGUUGUGAAAGCCUUCCGCUUAACGGAAGAAUGCCAGCUGAUACUACAGGGCUUGAGUACGGGAGGGGAGAGUGGAACUUCUGGUGGAGCGGUGAAAUGCGUAGAUAUCAGAAGGAACGCCGGCGGCGAAAGCGACUCUCUGGCCCGAAACUGACGCUGAGUGUGCGAAAGCUAGGGGAGCAAACGGGAUUAGAUACCCCGGUAGUCCUAGCCGUAAA